ACUCCUCCAUAGUUAACUUGCUACGUACAUGAAGCCAGAAUAGACUAGUUCAUAUAUCCAAGAGCAGGGCUCCUGAAGGGCAUGGACUCUAGCUUAUUGCAGACAUACCCUGGCAUCUAGCACAAUACCUGGCACAUAAUAGACAGCAGUCUGCAGCCUGGAAGAGGACCCUCACGAGAACCUGACCAUCUUAGCACUGUGUUUUGGACUUCCAGGCUCCAUAACUCCUUCAUUUAGAAAGGGAGCAUGAGAAGCACUGAAAAGUAAGGCACUGUGAUCUACACGGAAACCAUAUAUUGGGCUCACAGCUACUGAAUGAGACCGACUGGUGGAGACAGUUUAGUGAACCUGGUAAACACUACACGUGAAGAGUGGUGAAAGGGAACAUUGAUUACUGAAGUGCCCUGGAGAGGGAAAGCACUGGUCAACAUCACAUGGACAAAUUUCAUUGUUUUCUAAAGAUGGCCUGGAAGUAGUCUUUG
rnacentral:sRNA from 1 species